GACGAACCGUGCGAACGUUGUUCGGAUUCACUGGGCUUAAAGGGCGCGUAGGCGGGCGAUCAAGUCAGGGGUGAAAUCUUUCGGCUCAACCGGAAAAGGGCCUUUGAUACUGGUCGCCUCGAGGGAGGUAGGGGCAUGCGGAACUUCCGGUGGAGCGGUGAAAUGCGUAGAUAUCGAGAGGAACACCUGCGGCGAAGGCGGGUUGCUGGGCUGACACUGACGCUGAUGCGCGAAAGCUAGGGGAGCGAACGGG
rnacentral:rRNA from 1 species